UACAGAGGAUGCAAGCGUUAUCCGGAAUGAUUGGGCGUAAAGCGUCUGUAGGUGGCUUUUUAAGUCCGCCGUCAAAUCCCAGGGCUCAACUCUGGACAGGCGGUGGAAACUACCAAGCUGGAGUACGGUAGGGGCAGAGGGAAUUUCCGGUGGAGCGGUGAAAUUCGUAGAUAUCGAGAGGAACACCGGUGGCGAAGGCGGCCAACUGGACAGAUACUGACGCUGAGACUCGAAAGCGUGGGGAGCAAACAGG
rnacentral:rRNA from 1 species